AUGCCACUACAUUUUUCAAGUUGGAUUCGUCUUCUACCUCGAUUCCGACGAGUACGUUUUUUUGCGGGCCAGGCGGUAUACCUAUCCAUCUCACAACGCCAUAUAGAUCUUCACAUACUCCAGGAUUCGAGACUUCGACGAGGGAACCAAUCGCUAGCUCGGUUCCAGAAAAUCAAAUUAAAAAAAGCGGAACGAUUUCAUAAUAGAUCAUACCAAGUUCUUCGGGCAAUAAAUUUGGUGAAUAAAAUUCUAGCACUGUUAAUGGAAUAUUAUUGUGGAUAUCCGAGUCAGAAGACAAUUUUUGUUGCAAUUGAGAACUUUGAUAAAGUGCAGAACAAAUAAAACUCCUCGACAAACUGCAUAUAUCAACUCAGAGAACUGCCGUUUUACGUGAACGUAAAUAGAAUAUAUGUAUGUGUCGUUAUGUAUUUGGCCGGCGUUCUAUAAAUAAAUAGACGUUUUCAUUUCGUUGUCUUUUGCAAGGAAGCAAAGUGAAUACAAGUCUUACAACAACUGUAAAGUAUCGAG
rnacentral:lncRNA from 1 species